AACAGAGCAUUUCCUUUCAUGUCAGCCUCCUAAGCUGUAAAAUGGUAUAAAAUCUACCUUCUUUUAAGUCUGCUUCAGGAGUGACAUAGCAAGCCUCUGGCAGUAGCCUGCUAGGUAUUUGAAAACAAUAAAGGUUUCCUUUUAGGUUUACAAGUUCAGAUGUUAAGACUAUUA